AAUGGAGGAAGCAGUAAUCAGCUUGAAAAGAUGUUGAAUCUCUGAUGAGCUUUGAAUAUGUCAGAUUUAGUUAUGUCCUAGAAAGGGAGUUUCCUUGAACAACUGCUAGUCACUUUAAAUUAUUCUGCAUUUCAAACAGGAAAUCAUCCAAUUAGACUAACAGCUGCAGAGAUUGGAAUAAGCCUUGCAUGUGAGAAAAUUAAAGAAAAUGCAGCUGAGUACUAUGCAAAGCAGUGAAGCUUGGUCUGGUGCUUGACCUUGUCAUAAGCACGCAAGACAAUGUUCAGAGCUGUCCAGCUGCUUGCAACACCACUAAUCUCUAUAUGAAAUGAAAAAAACAGAUUCUCCAAUCACAUCCAUGGAGCUGAAUUUAGUGAGGAGAUAUAUAAACACCAGAAUGCACUUAUCCACUACCUUGUCUUACAUGCACGGUGUACCUUGCCAAGGGAAUGAUAGUUUAUAUGCCCAGCAUAUUCUGGUGUGGUGGCUUUUUGUUGUAUACACAAUUGUAACCAGUUUCAUUGAUUGCAUCAUCUAAACCUCUGUUUUUAAAAAACUUUUCUUUUAAGUAAAGGAAGAGUAGCUGCAAUCCUCUAAUCAAAUUUCUCUGAAAACAGGAGCUAAUAUGUCCACAGAUGAGCUCCUGACUCCUGUCCAUCAUAACAUUUUAAACCAGAAUGCAUUUCAGAAGCACACCAAGUUCUUUGAAAUUGUUCACUGUAAUGAUUGUUGUGUUGCAGCAAAAACUGAAUAGCUGGCUAGUAUAAACUUUAUUAUUGAAAAC
rnacentral:lncRNA from 7 species